GAUGAACGCUGGCGGCGUGCCUAAUACAUGCAAGUCGAGCGAACAGACGAGGAGCUUGCUCCUCUGACGUUAGCGGCGGACGGGUGAGUAACACGUGGAUAACCUACCUAUAAGACUGGGAUAACUUCGGGAAACCGGAGAUAAUACCAGAUAAUAUAUUGAACCGCAUGGUUCAAUAGUGAAAGACGCUUUUGCUGUCACUUAUAGAUGGAUCCGCGCCGCAUUAGCUAGUUGGUAAGGUAACGGCUUACCAAGGCAACGAUGCGUAGCCGACCUGAGAGGGUGAUCGGCCACACUGGAACUGAGACACGGUCCAGACUCCUACGGGAGGCAGCAGUAGGGAAUCUUCCGCAAUGGGCGAAAGCUUGACGGAGCAACGCCGCGUGAGUGAUGAAGGUCUUCGGAUCGUAAAACUCUGUUAUUAGGGAAGAACAAAUGUGUAAGUAACUAUGCACGUCUUGACGGUACCUAAUCAGAAAGCCACGGCUAACUACGUG
rnacentral:rRNA from 1 species